rnacentral:rRNA from 1 species
AACGAACGCUGGCGGCAGGCCUAACACAUGCAAGUCGAACGCUGCAGCAAUGCAGAGUGGCAGACGGGUGAGUAACGCGUGGGAACCUUCCCAGUGGUACGGAAUAGCCCAGGGAAACUUGGGGUAAUACCGUAUAAGCCCCUAGGGGGAAAGAUUUAUCGCCAUUGGAUGGGCCCGCGUCGGAUUAGCUAGUUGGUGAGGUAACGGCUCACCAAGGCAACGAUCCGUAGCUGGUUUGAGAGAAUGACCAGCCACACUGGGACUGAGACACGGCCCAGACUCCUACGGGAGGCAGCAGUGGGGAAUCUUGGACAAUGGGCGCAAGCCUGAUCCAGCCAUGCCGCGUGAGUGACGAAGGCCUUAGGGUUGUAAAGCUCUUUUGGCGGGACGAUAAUGACGGUACCCG